rnacentral:misc_RNA from 1 species
GUGAGUCAUCGAAUCUUUGAACGCAUAUUGCGCUCGAGGCUUCGGCCAAGAGCAUGUCUGCCUCAGCGUCGGGUUAAUACUCGCCUCACCCAAAUUCCGNUUUGGGUUAGCGCGGAUCUGGCCGUCCCAGCUAGUCUAACCACUUGGCUGGGUCUGCUGAAGAACAGAGGUUGAUGCAAUGGACCCGUUAAGGGCCUCGGCUUUGGUAGUGCAACUCGUUGCUCAAUGCUAACAGCUGAUGGCCUGGGACCGUGCUUGUUGACCCAAACCAGGAAACCAUAUUAACCAUUUUCUCGACCU